GGAGCCAGGAGGGUGAGAAGCCAGGCCAAAGGGUAGGGGUCAUUGAGCUUCCUGCGCGGAGGCUGCGGCUGUGGUGACCUCGCCGCUGGGGCCUCCCGGGGCCAGGAGAAAAUGAGUGACCUUGCCGAGCACAAAAGGUGCUGAAGGUGCCAGCUUCCUGUGGGGAGCGGGGCAGGAGCCCCGGAGCCCGGCUGGGGGGAGCCGCGUGUUCCAGCGAGAGAUGAUUCUUUCUUCUAAACAGGAAAUGGUGACCCGCAGGCCGGGAGCAGCCCUAAUGACUUGCAGCUUUCCUCCCAAAAGGGAAAAAAAGUUCUCUGGAACAAUCGCCAAAUUGUGGCCAGCCUCCCUGAAGGGAAGUUAGGGAGCCGGGUGGAUGGGGGCUGGGCACCGAGUUGCUGCAGGCCCGUGUGUCCCUUAGGCCCCUGGAGGUCGCUCCACGCACCCACAGCGGGCGCUGAGCCUGGUGGACGCAUGACCACACCGCCCUGAGCGCUGGCCUGAGACGCCGCUGCCCACGAUCCCCAAGCCCUGGCCGGUCAUCCUGGGAGACAGGUGGGCCCGCCUCCUGCCCUUGACUCUCAGGGUAACUGGAGCACGGCUCUGCCCCUCUUGGGGACUGUGGAGAAACAUCCGUCCGUCUAUCCAUCCGUGCCUGCCUUCCUUCCGUGAGCCUGACGGGCACUGUGUGUGCCGGACGCCGUUCUAGGCCCGGGUGACAGCUGGGAAUAAGCCAGACAGUCCCUGCGCUCACGAAACUUCUAGCCCAGGAGACAGAAAACAAACAAGCCGGCUUCCUGCAGAGAUGGAGCUAGGAUGGAAUGAAAGCCGCUGGAGGACGGCGGGGCGGGGCGGGGCUCCCUGACCCAGGGGCAGGGCCCGACCCAGGGGCAGGGCUGGGACCCGGGGCAGGGCCCGACCCAGGGGCCGGCGCCCAGUAGGAAGAGGUGGGGGAGGGACAGAGCGGCUGGCACGCACCGGGGGGCGGGGUGGGGGUGGGGCGCUCAUUCCCUGCAGUGGGCCUCCCAAGCAAAACGCUCAAAGCACGGCAUUGCCCUGGGGUGCAGGGCGUCCCUCCGGAGGGCUGGGGGUGGGGCAAUGCAUCUGCAGGGAACUGGCCCCCCUCAGCCCCCGUGUCUGUGGCUGGCACAUUCUCCCCCAGCUGCCGGCCGCUCGUUCCCAGGAGGCAGGCAAGUGGGCUACAACCCAGGGGAGGGAGGCUGGCGCUGAGCUCCGACAGGACAAGGGAUUCGCCCAAGGGCCCAGCUUCUGGCCGGUGAUGACAUUGGAUUGUGCGUGGCUUUUUGUUUGUUUGUUUGUUUUUAAGAU
rnacentral:lncRNA from 1 species